rnacentral:rRNA from 1 species
UGGGGAAUAUUGCACAAUGGGCGCAAGCCUGAUGCAGCCAUGCCGCGUGUAUGAAGAAGGCCUUCGGGUUGUAAAGUACUUUCAGCGUGGAGGAAGGGAGUAAAGUUACUACCUUUACUCAUUGACGUUACCCGCAGAAGAAGCACCGGCUAACUCCGUGCCAGCAGCCGCGGUAAUUCGGAGGGUGCAAGCGUUAAUCGGAAUUACUGGGCGUAAAGCGCACGCAGGCGUUUGAUUGAGUCAGAUGUGAAAUCCCCGGGCUUAACCCGGGAAUUGCAUCUGAUACUGGUGAGCUAGAGUCGUGUAGAGGGGGGUAGAGUUCCAUGUGUAGCGGUGAAAUGCGUAGAGAUGUGGAGGAAUAACGGUGGCGAAGGCGGCCCCCUGGACAAAGACUGACGUUCAGGUGCGAAAGCGUGGGGAGCAAACAGG